UAUGGCUCAGAACGAACGCUGGCGGCGCGUUUAAGCAUGCAAGUCGAGCGGCAAGGCCUCGGGCCCCUAGAGCGGCGGACGGUGAGUAACACGUGGACAAUCUGCCCCCCGGCCCGGGAUAGCCCAGGGAAACCUGGAUUAAUACCGGAUGAGACGGGACCCGCGAUGGCGGGAUCCGGGAAAGGCGCUGCGGCGCCGCCGGGGGAUGAGUCUGCGUCCCAUUAGCUAGACGGCGGGGUAACGGCCCACCGUGGCGACGAUGGGUAGCCGGCCUGAGAGGGUGGACGGCCACAUUGGAACUGAGACACGGUCCAGACUCCUACGGGAGGCAGCAGCUAAGAAUCUUCCGCAAUGGGCGAAAGCCUGACGGAGCGACGCCGCGUGAACGAAGAAGGCCGUGAGGUUGUAAAGUUCUUUCGGGAGGGGGAACAACCGUGGCAGGGAAUGGCCGCGGGAUGACGUGAAUCCCGGAAUAAGCCCCGGCUAACUACGUGCCAGCAGCAGC
rnacentral:rRNA from 1 species